rnacentral:tRNA from 1 species
GCGGCGCGCCGGAUCGUGGUGCGGGUGACCGCCGCCGGCGUCGGCGUCCAGGUGGUCGUGCGCGACGACGGGCGCGGCUUCGACCCGCGCCGUACCGUCCC